GGGCUGGUGCUCUCGUUCAGAUAGAUUUAGCUGGUGGUGCAGAGAUCCGUGAGCUUGCUUUUACAGGACUUUAAUGAUAUAUAAAAGCAGCACGAGGUGCUCCUGACUGUGGAUUAAUUUGGAGAUGACUUUCUCUGUUGAAGAGUAGCAAGACUCUCGCGAGUUCUUAAAAAUGCACUUGUUUGGUAUGAGAAUGAAAAGCAGUGGCUGAAGAACCAAUCUUCAAUGGGCAAGCCUUCUCUGUGUCUGUUCUAACACGUGCCAUUUGGGAUCCCUUGGAAUCUUCAUGUACAGAACUGGUUGCUGCCUCGUUGAGUCGGUGGGGACAGAAUAGCUCCUGGUUGACAGCAUGGGUUGUGCAGAAGGACGGAUCCUGCAGACAUCAAUAUCUGGCUUUGAGUGGCACAAAGAAAUAAAGGAAUGUGGAUUCAGACCUCACUGGGAUGCUUGGCAAUUCUAAUUCUACCCCAGACUGCAAAUGGACACACAACUGUUGUGACUUUUGUUGAAGAGGAGAAGGAUGGCACAGAAGCUGGAUUCAGAAGCACACAGGUCUGGGGAUGCAGGCUUCGGCCAGCCUGAUGCAAGGAAAGACUGCCAUCUCGUGGUCAGCUCAAUCCUGGCACCUUGGUGAGGGACCAGGCUGCAGAAAACCAGGCUUGGGGAGGAAACGGUGCUGCAAACUGGAUUUCUGCCGGACAGUGUGGAUGCCCUUAGAAAACACCCAGAAAAGAGCUGAGUGCCCCCCAAGACUUGCCCUGAAUUCUUUCAUGUGCAAUAUCCGAAAACCCUCUCUUGGGGCCUGGAUCAGGACCCCUUUCCUAUAACAUCUUUCUGGCGACAACAAAGGGACAAUGGUGUGGAAUCCCCCUUCCCAAAUGCUACUUUUAGAUAUCACCUUUUGUCGGAACUUGGAGUUGGUAAUGACCUUCACCAUACCACCACUCUGGGACUGAGCUUCUCUCUACCCUGAUGCAAGAGACCCUAAUAGGCAGGAAUAUGACCACCCCUAUUCAGCCUGAAGAAGUUACAGAAGUUCUGAAACCCUUAGAAAUGAGGGUCUUCUUGUAAAGGGAGUGGGGAGAUAUAUCAGAGGCAUUUGAACCAGAGCAACUCCAUCUUGAGUGAGGGCUAGGAAAAUGAGGCUAGGACUUGCUGGGCUGCAUUCUCAGAAAGUCAGUCAUUCCUAGCCUCUAGAUGUUUACGGUUAAGGGAACAAAUUUAUAACAUUUACUAAACACACCCAGACUUGGGAGUGUCCAGAUAUCCCAAUAUCUGGAGAACAAAGGCAUUCCUAAUUUUGCUUUAAAGACAAUAAUAUUGAUUCUUGCAAAAUAUAGUAAUUAAGAAAAUUAAUCCUUUAUCACAAACCCUUGUAGUAAAACACAUCUCCCCAUAUAUACAAGCAUUGUACCUAAGGUGGAUGCGUUCCAUCUCUUACUUUCAGGAAUGUCCUACACUAUCUAAGGA
rnacentral:lncRNA from 1 species